UAUGCCUGGAGGCCAGGGUCUAUGUGAUUUCUCUGGGACAUUCAGAGGAGUCCACAGAAUUAAAGCUCAUACACCAACUGAGUUGAAAAAUUACAUACGGAGGAGGGAUGGUGGAGGCAUUAGGAUGAACAAUUGAAAGCAAGAUUAAAAAGCUUAACCAUCUACCCAUGAAAAAAGCCCAGUCUUCUGGAAUGAGGCACACCCACAAAAUAGACGAAAAACCGAAAAGUUUUAAAAUGAAGAGCAAGUAAAAGCUUCAGCUAAUAUUUACUAAUACCUUGGAAGAAAUUGCAAGCCUACUGAAUGUGAAAAAGAUGCUCUGAUCGACUUGAGUAUGCAUACAAACAGAACCAGCAGCGUAGAGCGUGUUUUACAGCUUAUGCUGUGAUACUGGAAACCUGGAACUUGUAGGUCAAUGGCACUGUUUUAUUUCUUUUUCAAUGAUGGAAGAGAGAAAAGGAUGAACUACAAGAUGAUCAAAAAGCAUUUUUCCACUGCUGCUCCUUGAUAUACUAUUCUCUGUAAUAUAAAUGCUAUAAUAAAUCAUACUUUCUG